UACGGGGGGGGCAAGCGUUGUUCGGAAUUACUGGGCGUAAAGGGCGCGUAGGUGGCCAACUAAGUCAGACGUGAAAUCCCUCAGCUUAACUGGGGAACUGCGUCUGAUACUGGAUGGCUUGAGUUUGGGAGAGGGAUGCGGAAUUCCAGGUGUAGCGGUGAAAUGCGUAGAUAUCUGGAGGAACACCGGUGGCGAAGGCGGCAUCCUGGACCAACACUGACACUGAGGAGCGAAAGCCAGGGGAGCAAACGGG
rnacentral:rRNA from 1 species